UUGUAAUUUCAACUACAGAAAC
rnacentral:tRNA from 1 species